UGGCGGACGGGUGAGUAACGCGUGAGAAUCUGCCAAAAGGACUGGGACAACCACUGGAAACGGUGGCUAAUACCGGAUGGGCCGCAACGUAAAAGAGGAAACUCGCCUUUUGAAGAGCUCGCGUCUGAUUAGCUAGUUGGUAGGGUAAAAGCCUACCAAGGCGACGAUCAGUAGCUGGUCUGAGAGGAUGAUCAGCCACACUGGGACUGAGACACGGCCCAGACUCCUACGGGAGGCAGCAGUGGGGAAUUUUCCGCAAUGGGCGAAAGCCUGACGGAGCAAGACCGCGUGAGGGAGGAAGGCUCUUGGGUCGUAAACCUCUUUUCUUAGGGAAGAACACAAUGACGGUACCUGAGGAAUCAGCCUCGGCUAACUCCGUGCCAGCAGCCGCGGUAAUACGGAGGAGGCAAGCGUUAUCCGGAAUUAUUGGGCGUAAAGCGUCCGUAGGUGGCACUUCAAGUCUGCGGUCAAAGACCGGGGCUUAACCCUGGAAAGGCCGUGGAAACUGAAGUGCUAGAGUGCAGUAGGGGUAGAGGGAAUUCCCGGUGUAGCGGUGAAAUGCGUAGAGCUCGGGAAGAACAUCGGUGGCGAAAGCGCUCUACUGGACUGCAACUGACACUGAGGGACGA
rnacentral:rRNA from 1 species